UAUUCCCCUAGUAACUGCGAGUGAAGCGGGAAAAGCUCAAAUUUAAAAUCUGGCGGUCUUUGGCCGUCCGAGUUGUAGUCUGGAGAAGUGCUUUCCGCGCUGGACCGUGUAUAAGUCUCUUGGAACAGAGCGUCAUAGAGGGUGAGAAUCCCGUCUUUGACACGGACUACCAGUGCUUUGUGAUGCGCUCUCAAAGAGUCGAGUUGUUUGGGAAUGCAGCUCAAAAUGGGUGGUGAAUUCCAUCUAAAGCUAAAUAUUGGCGAGAGACCGAUAGCGAACAAGUACCGUGAGGGAAAGAUGAAAAGCACUUUGGAAAGAGAGUUAAACAGUACGUGAAAUUGCUGAAAGGGAAACGCUUGAAGUCAGUCGCGUUGUCCGGAACUCAGCCUUGCUUUUGCUUGGUGCACUUUCCGGAUGACGGGUCAGCAUCGAUUUUGACCGUCGGAAAAGGGCUGGAGUAAUGUGGCACCUCCGGGUGUGUUAUAGACUCUGGUCGCAUACGGCGGUUGGGAUCGAGGAACGCAGCGCGCCGCAAGGCAGGGGUUCGCCCACUUUCGCGCUUAGGAUGCUGGCAUAAUGGCUUUAAACGACCCGUCUUGAAACACGGACCAAGGAGUCUAACAUACCUGCGAGUGUUUGGGUGGAAAACCCGAGCGCGCAAUGAAAGUGAAAGUUGAGACCCCUGUCGUGGGGGGCAUCGACGCCCGGACCUGACGUUCUCUGACGGAUCCGCGGUAGAGCAUGUAUGUUGGGACCCGAAAGAUGGUGAACUAUGCCUGAAUAGGGUGAAGCCAGAGGAAACUCUGGUGGAGGCUCGUAGCGAUUCUGACGUGCAAAUCGAUCGUC
rnacentral:rRNA from 1 species